rnacentral:rRNA from 1 species
UCAGAUUGAACGCUGGCGGCAGGCCUAACACAUGCAAGUCGAACGGUAACAGGAAGCAGCUUGCUGCUUGCUGACGAGUGGCGGACGGGUGAGUAAUGUCUGGGAAACUGCCCGAUGGAGGGGGAUAACUACUGGAAACGGUAGCUAAUACCGCAUAAUGUCGCAAGACCAAAGAGGGGGACCUUCGGGCCUCUUGCCAUCGGAUGUGCCCAGAUGGGAUUAGCUUGUUGGUGAGGUAACGGCUCACCAAGGCGACGAUCCCUAGCUGGUCUGAGAGGAUGACCAGCCACACUGGAACUGAGACACGGUCCAGACUCCUACGGGAGGCAGCAGUGGGGAAUAUUGCACAAUGGGCGCAAGCCUGAUGCAGCCAAUGCCGCGUGUAUGAAGAAGGCCUUCGGGUUGUAAAGUACUUUCAGCGGGGAGGAAGGGGUUAAGGUUAAUAACCUUAGCCAUUGACGUUACCCGCAGAAGAAGCACCGGCUAACUCCGUGCCAGCCGCGGC